UUGUGCGCCAGCCGCCUCACUGCCUGCCACAUUCACUUGUUUCAUCUUUAAAUGAAUGAGGCGAUGAAAGUGUGCAUCCAGAUAACUCUUUGUUAAGCAGCAUAAAUGCAUCCUUUCCUCGCUAUACCGCUUCUCCAGAUCGUUGAUGAUCUUUGUCUUCAUCUCGGACAGUUGAGCGAGCAGAAGGUGUUUUAAAGGCAGUACAGCCGACGCGGUUGGAUAUUUGUCAGUUAAAAGUGCUACUGUUGCCACUUUAAAGGGUUAAAGGACCUUCUUGCACCUGCAAUAAACUAUAAAAUUAUAACCAGCUUGUAGUGCUGUAAAAGGCCAUCAUACCUUCCACUUAUCUGGUAUUUCAGACGGGUAACGCGCCUCCCGACUAUACAUUAAAAAAUAAGGAGUAUUUCGUUGUUAACUGCUUUUUUGUUCAUAGUCCAAAUACAGUUGGCUGUAUGAAUUUGUCCCAGUCACUUGGGUGGUCCUGCUCAAUUUUCUGCACAGCUCUGAAAUAACAAAAAGGAAAUCAGUCAUUCUCCAUGGAUAGUAUAUCACAAGCGGUUUUAUCUGAAUAUAUUUAGUAGAAUAGUCCUAUUUUUACCCUUGAAUUGUGACAUUUAGAUUUUCCACCAAGCCAUUGGUUUGACGGUGGUAGGGAGCACACAGGCUUCUGGCAAUGCCAAGAUUUUCACACAAUCCUGUGUUUAUCUAGAAUAUGCAUAGAGGGGAAAAAACAUGGUGCUUUUUCCAUUGUUGAUGUGACAAAAACAAAUACACAAAUGUUAUUUGUCUCAGAAUUAAACUUACUUUGUUGACUAAUUCUUUGCCACGGUCGGUCAGAAUGCGUUUUGGGGCGCCAUACUUGUAAAAGAAAUCAAUCAUGCACAGUGUGACUUCUGCUCCCCUUUGCUUUUAGCGGGUAGACUUCUAGCCACUUUGUAAAGUACUCCACCAUCACACAUAUGUACAUAUAACCAUUGUUGGUGCAUUUCAGCUUGCUAACUAGAUCCAUUCCCACAAGUUCAAAGGGCCUUAGAAGGGGCCUAGAUCUGAAAAUGCAAACCAAAGCUUAACACCAACAAUACUGUACGUGUAAGAGCCUGAAGUGUGUGUAUAUUGUUUAAUUGGACUUUCUUAUAUUGAGGAUAUAUUGUAUUGGUAUAUGUGUUGGCUUGACGCUCCUUUUAUUUUCCUGCUUAUAUUGACGUCAUGUUGGCAGCAGGUGCAACUGAGAUGAGCUGAUUAGGCACGAGUGCAAUUUUUUUUCAAUACCACAAUGAGCCCGAAUAUCGCUGGCAUGAAACCUCACAAAGAUGUUCGCUUCUAGUUCAGUAACUAUAACUUUGGCAAGAUGAUGACGCUGCUCAACUUUUUUUUCUUUUUUUUCUGCGGCACUGGUAAUAAAGUUCCCCAUCUAGGGAUUUAUAUUACAUUUGAAAUCAAAUUUUAAAAAUCGUUAGGAAAUGAUACCAUACAGUCGUAUGGGUGGCCUUGCUUAUCACUUUGUCUUUUAAGAACGUAUUGCUGAUUCCGGUUGAAAUUAGCAGGAUAGUUCUUCACACGUAGCAGUGGAGUAGUGCUCACUUAUACAAUUGUAAUCGCCGCAAUGGAUAUGUGAUUCAUUCUGAAAGUUAUCAGCAAUAUGUUUGCGAUUGUGACGACUCAGGUGACCGAGGCAGACAACAUCUGCCGCUGUUAGGUGAGCACAAACAUGCACGCGUAGGCAAACCAGUAGGUUUGAAAAAAACAAAAACAGUAGGGACGUAACACCGGCUUCGGUUUGGAGAGACUGGACGAGGAUGUCCGGGGCCAUGCCAAUGUCCCUCUGACCAGCUGCUGUGGUUGGAAUACCCGUUCAGGCAGAGCACGGGUACGGACCCUUCUCUCUGAAGGACACCGUCAAGGAUGGACCUUGUCCAAAAGAGGAGGUUCAGCAUGGGCAGCCCGAUCCAGAUCCAGGGGCCGACGAGGCGUACCAGAGCGACGGGGAGGCUCGUGCCAUCCUGCCCCACAUUAACCUCACCAGCAAUGAAACCCCAGUGUUCACCCUCCAGCAUCUCUUGUCAACACUCCAAAACCUGCUUCGAAAGGCUGGAAAAGUUCUGCUGUGCUAUAAAUCAGACCAGCUGACUCUUUCCGCUGAGCAGAGGAACGAGGUCCUUGAAGUCUGGAACAAAGUGGAGGAGCACGAGAAGCAGCCGCAGCAGUUCAACCAGCUGUAAAGAACUUACUGGAGCAUCGGCCUGUACUGCAGCACAAAGAACAUCUGGUUGAUGCUGCUGCGAUCCAGAGGGACGCAGCCCUCCAGGACCCGAUUUGGAGGACACAUCUGAUUCGCCCUUUGCAGCCCAGCAUAUCCCAUCGUGCAGUGCGGGCCGACGAGGAUUUAAUGUAUUCAAGAUGGAAGCAGUUCAGCCGACAGCGGGGAAGAGUCCCCCUUAAAUGUAACAUAAUAUAAUGCACUCGAAUAUUUACAGAUAUAAAUGUUAUAUAACAUCACAUCUUAACAUAUUGAAUUACUAGGUUUUUUUUUUCGCUUUUGUUUUUUUUGGAUGAAACCGGUCAUAGAGAGCAUGUCCUUCUGUAGUUUUUGUGACAGGAUGGGCCAACAUCCACGGAUUGGCAUCUUCUGGCGAUGGUCCAACGAGGGAAUGACCGCUUAGGUUGUUCACCCGCGGCAUUUUCAGCUCCAAUUUUUUCUCUGAAGCAAGUGCCAAGUUCUCCUUUGUUUGGGGACACAAGCGUCCUUCAUUCGGUUGGAAAAACGGUUGUUUGCUUCAAUUGUUCGUGUGUCUGGCUACAGAAACCUCUGAUAUGAAGCAUGUGGGAAAUGCUUUGAAGCUAAGCAGUCCAUCAACGUGGUCACUGGCAGACUGCCCACAACAGGAAGUUUACGUAGUAAACUACUCCAUGAGUGCAGGAGAAAUGCAAUAUACCACCUGUUAAUUAAAUAAAAACAUAAGCGUAUUCAAGAUAA